rnacentral:rRNA from 1 species
UGCCAGCCGCCGCGGUAAUACGAAGGGAGCGAGCGUUAAUCGGAAUUACUGGGCGUAAAGCGCGCGUAGGUGGUUAAUUAAGUCAGAUGUGAAAGCCCAGGGCUCAACCUUGGAACUGCAUUUGAAACUGGUUAACUAGAGUUUUGUAGAGGGUGGUAGAAUUUCAGGUGUAGCGGUGAAAUGCGUAGAGAUCUGAAGGAAUACCAGCGGCGAAGGCGGCCACCCGGACAGAGACUGACACUGAGGCGCGAAGGCGUGGGGAGCAAACGGGAUUAGAUA